CGGACUCCCGGAAGCCCAAGUCCGGCUGGGAGGAAGCAGCUGAAACCCGGCCAACAGACCGGGGGUUAAUUUAGCCAGAAAAGCGGGCGGGAGGGGCUGUAGGGUGCUUGUCAAUUCGCCGCCAUGAAUGUGGUUUUUGCUGUGAAGCAGUACAUUUCCAAAAUGAUAGAGGACAGCGGGCCUGGUAUGAAAGUACUUCUCAUGGAUAAAGAGACGACUGGCAUAGUGAGUAUGGUAUACACACAAUCGGAGAUUCUACAGAAGGAAGUGUACCUCUUUGAACGCAUUGAUUCUCAAAAUCGAGAGAUCAUGAAACACCUGAAGGCAAUUUGUUUUCUUCGACCUACAAAGGAGAAUGUGGAUUAUAUGAUUCAGGAGCUCCGAAGACCCAAAUACACUAUAUAUUUCAUUUAUUUCAGUAAUGUGAUCAGCAAGAGUGACGUGAAGUCAUUGGCUGAAGCUGAUGAACAGGAAGUUGUGGCUGAGGUUCAGGAAUUUUAUGGUGAUUACAUUGCUGUGAACCCACAUUUGUUUUCCCUCAAUAUUUUGGGUUGCUGCCAGGGUCGAAAUUGGGAUCCAGCCCAGCUAUCUAGAACAACUCAAGGGCUUACAGCUCUCCUUUUAUCUCUGAAGAAAUGUCCCAUGAUUCGUUAUCAGCUCUCAUCAGAGGCAGCAAAGAGACUUGCAGAGUGCGUUAAGCAAGUGAUAACUAAAGAAUAUGAACUGUUUGAAUUCCGUCGGACAGAGGUUCCUCCAUUGCUCCUUAUUUUAGAUCGCUGUGAUGAUGCCAUCACCCCAUUGCUAAACCAGUGGACAUAUCAGGCCAUGGUCCAUGAACUACUAGGCAUAAACAACAAUCGGAUUGAUCUUUCCAGAGUGCCGGGGAUCAGUAAAGACUUAAGAGAAGUGGUCCUAUCUGCUGAAAAUGAUGAAUUCUAUGCUAAUAAUAUGUACCUGAACUUUGCUGAGAUUGGUAGCAAUAUAAAGAAUCUCAUGGAAGAUUUUCAGAAGAAGAAACCAAAAGAACAGCAAAAACUAGAAUCAAUAGCAGACAUGAAGGCGUUUGUUGAGAAUUAUCCACAGUUCAAGAAAAUGUCUGGGACUGUUUCAAAGCAUGUGACAGUGGUUGGAGAACUAUCUCGAUUGGUCAGUGAGCGGAAUCUGCUGGAGGUUUCAGAGGUUGAGCAAGAACUGGCCUGUCAAAAUGACCAUUCUAGUGCUCUCCAGAAUAUAAAAAGGCUUCUGCAGAACCCCAAAGUGACAGAGUUUGAUGCUGCUCGCCUGGUGAUGCUUUAUGCUUUACAUUAUGAGCGACACAGCAGCAAUAGCCUGCCAGGACUAAUGAUGGACCUCAGGAAUAAAGGUGUUUCUGAGAAGUAUCGAAAGCUCGUGUCUGCAGUUGUUGAAUAUGGUGGUAAACGAGUCAGAGGAAGUGACCUCUUCAGCCCCAAAGAUGCUGUGGCUAUCACCAAACAAUUCCUCAAAGGACUGAAGGGAGUAGAAAAUGUAUAUACACAGCAUCAACCUUUCCUACAUGAAACCCUGGAUCAUCUCAUCAAAGGAAGGCUUAAGGAAAACCUAUAUCCUUAUCUAGGCCCCAGCACACUCAGAGACAGAUGUUGAUUGAAUGCUUUCAGUAUGUCAAGAGCUGUUGUAGAUGCUGGCAAUAUAGAAGUGACAGGAAAGACAAGAAUUGCCUCUUGUCUCUGAUAAAGGCAAGCAACUUUUUCAUUUGGUGAGGAAAUGGAGCUAUAUGAUCAUGCAUUCCAGAAUGAGUCAAUUCAAAAAGGAAGUACUUUUCAUGUUUAUACAAAUGUAGUAGAAUCUUGUUGCUACAGCUUAUUUUUUGUUUCUGUGAAGCAGCAGUCCUUUUUCAUUGGCCUUUUUUCCUGCAGUAAAUGCUUAUAAGAACUGUACCAUUUGUAAGUAUGUUCAGAAAUUACAAUUUUAGCCAUAAGUGUAAUGCUCCACAAAAUAGAUAAAAUGUUGCCUUUUGAAAGUUUGUGUUUCCACCUAACUUAACCACAUAUAGAAAUAAUGUUAAAAAUUCUCAAUAAGGCAGGCAAUGUGGCUCAUGCCUGUAAUCCCAGCACUUUGGGAGGCUGAGGUGGGCAGAUCAGAGGUCAGGAGUUCGAAACUAGCCUGGCCAACAUAGUGAAACCUUGUCUCUACUAAAAAAAAAUACAAAAAUUAGCUGGGUGUGGUGGCAGGCAUGGUGGCAGACGCCUGCAGUCCCGGCUACUUGGGAGGCUGAGGCAGGAGGAUCGGCUGAACCCAGGAGGCAGAGGUUGUAGUGAGCCAAGACUGUGCCACUGCACUCCAGCCUGGGCGACAGAGUGAGACUCCAUUAAAAAAAAAAGAAAAAAAAAAACUCUCAACAAACUUGGUAUUGAAGGAACAUACCUCAAAAUAAUAAGAGCCAUCUAUUCCCAGUACUCUGGGAGGCCGAGGCGGGCGGAUCAUGAGGUCAGGAGAUCGAGACCAUCCUGGCUAAUACGGUAAAACCCUGUCUCUACUAAAAAUACAAAAAAAUUAGCCAGGCAUGGUGGUGGGUGGCUGUAGUCCUGGCUACUCGGGAGGCUGAGGCAGGAGAAUGGCAUGAACCCGGGAGGUGGAGCUUGCAGUGAGCCAAAAUCGAGCCACUGCUCUCCAGCCUGGGGGACAGAGCGAGACUCCGUCUCAAAAAAAAAAAAAAGAGCCGUCUAUGACAAACCCACAGCCAACAUCAUACUGAAUGGGCAAAAGCUGGAAGCAUUCCCCUUGAAAACCAGCACAAGACAAGGAUGCCCUCUCUCACCACUUCUAUUCAACGGAGUAUUGAAAGUCCUAGCCAGAGCAACCAGGCAAGAGAUAGAAAUAAAGUGCAUCCAAACAGGAAAACAGGAAGUUAAACUGUUUUUAGACGACAUGAUUCUAUAUCUAGAAAACCCCAUAGUCUCAGCUCAAAAGCUCCUUCAGCUGAUAAACAACUUCAGCAAAGUUGCAGGAUACAAGUCAGUGUACAAAAAUCACUAGCAUUCCUAUACAGCAACGACAACCAAGCUGAAAGCCAAAUUAGAAAGCAAUCCCAUUCACAACUGCCACCAAAAAAAUAAAAUACCUAGGAAUACAGCUAACCAGGAAGGUGAAAGAGCUCUACAGUGAGAAUUACAAAACAUUGUUCAAAGAAAUUAGAGAAGCCACAAACAAAUGGAAAACAUCCCAUGCUCAUGGAUAGGAAGAAUCAAUAUCAUUAAAAUGGCUAUACUGCCCAAAGCAGUUUACAGAUUCAAUGCUAUUCCUAUCUAACUACCAAUGACAUUCUUCACAGAACUAGAAAAAAUUAUUUUAAAAUUCAUAUGGAAUCAAAAAACAGCCCAAAUAGCCAAGGCAAUCCUAAGCAAAAAGAACAAAGCUGGAAGAAUCACGUUACCCAACUUCAAACUAUACUACAAGGCUACAGUGACCAAAAUGCAUGGUAUGGGUACAAAAACAGGCACAUAGACCAAUGGAACAGAAUAGAGAGCCCAGAAAUAAGGCCUCACAUCUAUGACCAUCUGAUCUUUGACAAAGCUGACAAAAACAAGCAAUGGGGAAAAGACUCAUUCAAUAAAUGGUGCUGAAAUAACUGACUAGCCAUAUGCAGAAGAUUGAAGCUGGACCCCUUCCUUACACCAUAUACAAAAAGUUCAACUCAAGAUUGAUUAAAGACAAAUGUAAAACCCAAAACUAUAAAAACCCUGGAAGACAACCUAGGUAAUACCAUUCUGGACCUAGGAACAGGCUAAGAUUUCAUGACAAAAAAACUAUGCAUCUGAGAAAGGUCUAAUAUCCAGCAUCUAUAAAGAACUUAAACAAAUUUACAAGAGAAAAACAACCUCAUUAAAAUGUGGGAGGCCGAGGCAGGUGGAUCACCUAAAGUCAGGAAUUCGAGACCAGCCUAGCCAACAUGGUGAAACCCUGUCUCUACUAAAAAUACAAAAAAUUAGCCACGAGUGAUGGCUGGCACCUGUAAUCGUGCCAUGGGAGGCUGAGGCAGGAGAAUCACUUGAACCCGGGAGAUGGAGGUUGCUGUGAGCCGAGACUGUGCCAUUGCACUCCAGCCUGGGCAACAAGAGCAAAACCCUGUCACAAAAAAAAAAAAAAGUGGGCAAAGGACAUAACAGUUACUUCUCGAAAGAAGACAUACAUGCAGCCAACAAGCAUAUGAAAAAAAGCUCAAUAUCACUGAUCAUUAGAGAAAUGCAAAUCAAAACUGUGGUGAGAUACCAUCUCAACACCAGUCAGAAUGGCUAUUACUAAAAAGUCAAAAAAUAGGCUGGGCAUGGUGGUUCAAGCCUGUAAUCCCAGCACUUUGGGAGGCCGAGGUGGGUGGAUCACAAGGUCAGGAGUUCGAGACCAGCCUAGCCAACACGGUGAAACCCCUUCUCUACUAAAAAUACAAAAAUUAGCCAGGCCUGGUGGCACAUGCCUGUAAUCUCAGCUACUCGGGAGGCUGAGGCAGGAGAAUGGCUUGAACCCGAGAGGCAGAGGUUGCAGUGAGCCGAGAUCACACCAUUGCACUCCAGCUCUGGGCAACAGAGCAAGACUCCACCUCGAAAAAAAAAAAAAAGUCAAAAAUAACAGAUCCUGGUGAGGUUGCAGAGAAAAGGGAACCCUUGUAACUGUUGGUGGGAAUGUAAAUUAGUUCAAACAUUGUGGAAAGCAGUAUGGCAGUUCCUCAAAGAUUUAAAAACAGAACUACCAUUUGACCCAGAAAUCCCAUUACUGGGUAUAUACCCAGAGGAAUAUAACUCAUUCUACCAUAAAGACACAUGCAGCUGGACACGGUGGUUCACGCCUAUAACCCCAGCACUUUGGGAGGCUGAGGCAGGUGGAUCACCUGAGGUCAGUAGUUCGAGACCAGCCUGGCCAACAUGGUGAAACCUUGUCUCUACUAAAAAAUAAAAAAAAUUAGCCAGGCAUGGUGGCAGGUGCCUGUAAUCCCAGCUACUCGGGAGGCUAAGGCAGCAGAAUCACUUGAACCCGGGAGGUGGAGAUUGUGAUGAGCCGAGAUUGCUCUACUGCACUCCAGCCUGGGCGACAGAGUGAGACUCCCUGUCAAAAAAAAAAAAGACACAUGCAUGGCCAGGUGGGGUGGCUCAUGCCUGUAAUCCCAGCACUUCGGGAGGCCGAAGGGAGUGGAUCACCUGAGGUUAGGAGUUCAAGACCAGCCUAACCAACAUAAUGAAACCUCAUCUCUACUAAAAAUACAAAAUUAGCGGGGCAUGGUGGUGCAUGCCUGUAAUCUCAGCUGCUUGGGAGGCUGAGGCAGGAGGACUGCUUGAACCUGGGAGGCAGAGGUUGUGGUGAGCCAAAAUUGUGCACUUGCAUUCCAGCCUGGGCAAUGAGCGAAACUCUGUCUCAAAAAAAAAGACACAUGCACACGAAUAUUCAUUGCAGCACUGUUCACAAUAGGUACGACAUGGAAUCAACCUAAAUGCCCACCAAUGACAGACUAGAUAAGGAAAAUGUACAUAUACACCAUGGAAUGUUAGGCAGCCAUUAAAAAAAUGAGAUUAUGCCUUUUGUGGGAACAUGGAUGGAGCUGGAGGCUAUCACCCUUAGCAAACUAAUGCAGGAAGAGAAAACCAAAUACUGCAUGUUCUCACUUACAGGUUGGAGCUAAAUGAUAAGAACUCAGGAACACAGAAGGAAACAGCAGAUACUGGGGUCUACUUGAGCAGGAAGGGUGAAAGGAGGGAGAGGAACAGAAAAGAUAACUAUUGGGUCCUAAGCUUAAUAACUGGGUGAUGUAAUAAUAUGUAUGACAAACCGCUGUGACACUUGCUUAUGUAACAAACC